GCCCGGGUUUGUUGUUCGGAGUUUGCUCUCCUAGGUGAACUGCCUACCACGGCUAACGAGCUCCACCUGCCCGGGUUUGUUGUUCGGAGUUUGCUCUCCUAGGUGAAUUGCCUACCACGGCUAACGAGCUCCACCUGCCCGGGUUUGUUGUUCGGAGUUUGCUCUCCUAGGUGAACUGCCUACCACGGCUAACGAGCUCCACCUGCCCGGGUUUGUUGUUCGGAGUUUGCUCUCCUAGGUGAAUUGCCUACCACGGCUAACGAGCUCCACCUGCCCGGGUUUGUUGUUCGGAGUUUGCUCUCCUAGGUGAAUUGCCUACCACGGCUAACGAGCUCCACCUGCCCGGGUUUGUUGUUCGGAGUUUGCUCUCCUAGGUGAAUUGCCUACCACGGCUAACGAGCUCCACCUGCCCGGGUUUGUUGUUCGGAGUUUGCUCUCCUAGGUGAAUUGCCUACCACGGCUAACGAGCUCCACCUGCCCGGGUUUGUUGUUCGGAGUUUGCUCUCCUAGGUGAAUUGCCUACCACGGUUAUGGAACCCCACUGCUCGGCCUUGUAGCCGGAAGAUCUCGGGCACCUCCGUCGGGGCCCCGGGGGUCGCAUAGGUGCCCUGCCGGGAGCCCUUCACUCCUGCCACGCUCGCCAGGGAGACCUUGGGCUCGCUGGCGCUGCCCCGCCCCGCCGAGGCGAGGAGGGCGAAUGCAAGAACUCGCUUCUUGAA